rnacentral:rRNA from 1 species
GACCCCGCACAAGCGGCGGAGCAUGCGGCUUAAUUCGAUGCAACGCGAAGAACCUUACCAGGGUUUGACAUCCUGCGAAUCUCUUGGAAACAGGAGAGUGCCUUCGGGAACGCAGUGACAGGUGGUGCAUGGCUGUCGUCAGCUCGUGUCGUGAGAUGUUGGUUAAGUCCCGCAACGAGCGCAACCCACGUCUUUAGUUGCCAGCAUUUAGUUGGGCACUCUAGAGAGACUGCCGGUGAUAAACCGGAGGAAGGUGUGGAUGACGUCAAGUCAUCAUGCCCCUUACAUCCUGGGCUACACACGUACUACAAUGCUACGGACAAAGGGCAGCAAGUUCGCGAGGAC